UAGUAAAGUUGUCCUCAGUGCCAUAUUGACU
rnacentral:piRNA from 1 species